UACGUAGGUGGCAAGCGUUGUCCGGAUUUACUGGGCGUAAAGAGCGCGCAGGCGGUCUUGUAAGUCGAAUGUGAAAGCCCCUGGCUCAACCGGGGAGGGUCAUUCGAUACUGCUCGACUCGAAGGCAGGAGAGGGAAGCGGAAUUCCCGGUGUAGUGGUGAAAUGCGUAGAUAUCGGGAGGAACACCAGUGGCGAAGGCGGCUUUCUGGCCUGUUCUUGACGCUGAGGCGCGAAAGCUAGGGGAGCAAACAGG
rnacentral:rRNA from 1 species